AUUGAACGCUGGCGGCAGGCUUAACACAUGCAAGUCGAACGAGUGGCGGACGGGUGAGUAAUGCUUGGGAAUCUGGCUUAUGGAGGGGGAUAACGACGGGAAACUGUCGCUAAUACCGCGUACCAUAGGAUGAGCCCAAGUGGGAUUAGGUAGUGGGUGGGGUAAUGGCCUCCCAAGCCGACGAUCUCUAGCUGGUCUGAGAGGAUGACGGCCGACCACGGGAACGAGACACGGGCCGGACGCCGACGGAAGGCAGCAGUGGGAAAUAUGGCGCAAUGGGGGCAAUCUGACGCAGCCAUGGCGCGUGAGCGAAGAAGGCGUUCGGGUUGUAAGGUUCUUUCGGUGACGGGGGGUUAGUCACAGAAGAAGCACCGGCUAACUCCGUGCCAGCAGCCGCGGUAAUAC
rnacentral:rRNA from 1 species